CUAAGCAUUUGUAACACUUUGUUAAAAGGACACAUUCCGCCAUCCAUCAGUAAUUUAACACGUUUGACGAUUCUCGAUUUAUCCACAAAUUCUUUAACAGGUGUAAUCCCACAUCAAAUUGGAAAUCUUCUCAAUUUGGAAGAAUUAAUCCUUUAUUCCAAUAUGCUAAAAGGGCCUCUUCCGUCAUCCAUUAGUAAUCUAACACGUUUGACAAAUUUCGAUUUAUCACAUAAUUCUUUAUCAGGUAUUAUAUAAUAUUUCUUCUGUACAUAUUUUCCCUUAAAUUAAAUUUAUAUUGAAUUUCUAGAAAUGUGUUAAAUAUUUUAUACUUGUGCACUUCAUUUAAUGGUAAAUCUGCUUUUGAAUCAA